GACGAACGCUGGCGGCGUGCUUAACACAUGCAAGUCGAACGGAAAGGCCCUGCUUUUGUGGGGUGCUCGAGUGGCGAACGGGUGAGUAACACGUGAGUAACCUGCCCUUGACUUUGGGAUAACUUCAGGAAACUGGGGCUAAUACCGGAUAGGAGCUCCUGCUGCAUGGUGGGGGUUGGAAAGUUUCGGCGGUUGGGGAUGGACUCGCGGCUUAUCAGCUUGUUGGUGGGGUAGUGGCUUACCAAGGCUUUGACGGGUAGCCGGCCUGAGAGGGUGACCGGCCCCAUUGGGAGUGGGAAGCGGCCAAGACCGAAGCGGGGGGCAGGGGGGGGAAAUUUAGGAAAAGGGGCGGAAGCCGGGUGGAACAACGCCGGGGGGGGAAACCCGGCUUUGGGGUUGAAACCCGUUUGGCCGUGUGAAGGAGCGUGGGGAGGGGAAAUGGUAAAAAAACCACGGGUAAAUUCGGG
rnacentral:rRNA from 1 species